CCUAACACACACCCAGCGCUAUUUGGGAGAAAAACAGAGAUGUAUUUCACAAAUAUCGAGAAGGAGAGAGCACCAGAGAAAUAGUAACUUGUUAUUAUUUGGAAUAUAUUCAGCUACUACCUAUUCCACUUCUGGCUGGUAUGGCAUAGGAAGCAGAUCACAGUCAUAUUUUCAUCUCCAUUAUGUGGGCAGUAACAGGCUCAAGAAAUAGACAAGUUUGAAAAUCUAGUGGUGCUGGAUGAAAGACAAUCAUUUGCUGGCCCAGGGGCUCCUGUUGGCUGAAUGGCCCCACCAGGGGCCCACAGGAGAUGCACUGCCCCUUGUCCAGCAUGACCUACUGAAGAGGUAACUCUGCCUAAAUCUGAUGCUGUGUUAACCAUACCACUCUGCAAAGACCUGAUGCCACAUCCUCCAACCUGACUCUACCAGUUAUUAUAAAAGUGACAUUUUAACCCCUCUCCAUCA